AGCAGCUCUGUCCGAUCUCUCUACGCUCUCUACUUGGUUUUCUAGCAAUUUCGCUCGAUCCUUCCAAAAUCAAACCCUAAAUCGUCCUUAUACUUCCCAAAUAAUCCACAAAACUCCAAAAAUUACACAAUAGUUAAGUGUUUUUGUUCUUACAUGCGUUUGAGGCGGAAAUCAGUACUGUUUUUGGACGAAGAGACCGUAAAUUGCGAAAGUUCAAAAUCAAGAUUUCAAACAGAAUCAAAGAAACCUCAUAUGUAUUCACUAAUUGUUGGUGGGCUCUCCGUCGGUCAAUGUGAGAAUGAAAGCAUCUGAAAAAAGGGGAACACCAUCAAGCUUGUUGUUUGCCGGAAAAAUAGACCACCAAAAGAACAUCAGAACCAGAAUCCUUGAUUCCAGACAGACCAACCAAGCCACCAUCAAAGCAAAUGACACCGGAGUGGGAAGCCAGGGCCAGACCAGAAGCAGAGAACAUCCCCUCUGCUUACACCCUAAUCCACGGACCCAAGACCAACCAAACCAGUCGGAAAAAUCGCAGACAACGGAGUGAAAUGGUGGAACAAAAGCCUCCAUUAACCAACUCCAUAUCAGUCCAAACUCCAGGCACGGAUUUAGUUCAAAAAGAGUCCAAAAAGGAGAACGUCCUAAAUAUGGUGUGUCUCACGUCGGAGGGGACUCAUAUGCCUGAGCAGACAACCACGGCUCCAGCAUGUGUGCAUGGACUUAGAAUGUCCAACCUACAUUACUGCCACAGCAGCAACCAUGAGCCUAGGCACCAUUUCCAAGCAAGGAAUCCAAACUGGAUAGACUCGCCGGAAAAAGCCCACCAAGAAGGAACAAAGGAGCGGAGGAGAAAAAAAGAGGGAGAGCAAGCCAACCAUCUUGCUCAAAGCAUGAGAAUCCAUAGCACCCUAUAUAACGUGUAUAUAUAAGCAAAUGUGUGUACAUAUAACGUGUAUAUAUAAGCAAAGCCCUGUUCCCAAGAAUCAGCAUCCA